UCCGGAGAGAAAACCUCGGUGAUACCAUCUUCUCUUUGCACGCGAUUGCUCGUGAAACUCCGGACGCUGAGGUGUCAGUGGGUUCUCAUGUGUACUGACCGGCAGAGAUAGCGUCAUCCCGGCACUAACGCGGUGAUAUCAUUAAGGUAGAUUUAUGCUACCACCAGUGGCAGUGUCGACUCUCCGCGGCUAGAUUAGGAUAGCCCUCGGAGACUACGCCCGCGGACAUCUCUGACUUAACUUAUAUCGUAACUAACAUCGAAGCAAGAAAAAAGAGAAAUCUGAGAAGAAACAGAGAGUACAAGAAACAAGAAACAGUGAGAAACGAAUUAUUGCUGAAGAUCAUUGCUCUAGUUCGUGUCAACGGUCGAGAAACGAGGAAUUUAAUUGCGCCGCCAUCUUCACGGCUAAUAUAUCCGGACCACACGAGAGAGAUUUUAAUUCGUGCGAUCCGCAUCCUUGAUAACUACCGGGUAUACUCGAAUUAGGCUACGUCGACGAUAUGGAAACAGCAGGUGGCGAUCCUGGCAUCCGAUUAUAGUCCGAAGUGUUAUUAACGAUCGAUCGCAAUACAGCUCCUGUACUUAACUGUAGCGAAUAAGUAUGCUGCAUCAUCUACCAGCACUCUUCUAAUCGACUGUCUUACAUUAUGUGAGAUGGUACUGCCAUUGUGUGAUAGACGUAUACGUAUCUAAUCACACAAAUCCAAUCUUGAUGCCCGUUUCAUCUUCUUAACUAGAAUGCUUGACAAUUCUUUUGCUUGAAAAUUCUCUCUCUUUAAAAACUACUUCGAUGUUAAAAUUGAUCAAUUUUCAAUUUUAUAGAUACGAAAGAUUUGUAUUAAUUAUCGUGCUUUCAUCAUCGCGAAUAAAUAUAGAAAUUAAUUUUAUGUACUUCUAUACAGCGACUACAUCUGCAAAUUUAUCAAAACUUCAUUUUUAUGUUGGACUAUAACUCUCAAGAAUAAUAUGUACUACUCUCGAAAAAAG
rnacentral:lncRNA from 13 species